UACAGAGGUCCCGAGCGUUGUUCGGAUUCACUGGGCGUAAAGGGUGCGUAGGUGGCUGGAAAAGUUUGAUGUGAAAGCUCAGGGCUUAACCCUGAAAUGGCAUUGAAUACUGUCGAGCUGGAGGUUUGGAGGGGGGACUGGAAUUCUUGGUGUAGCAGUGAAAUGCGUAGAUAUCAAGAGGAACACCAGUGGCGAAAGGCGAAGUCCCUGGACAACACCUGACACUGAGGCACGAAAGCUAGGGGAGCAAAACAGG
rnacentral:rRNA from 1 species